rnacentral:lncRNA from 1 species
AUAGCCAGGCUAGUCUCUUUAUGCAGUCCUACACCUUAACCAAAUGGUCAUUUGUUAAUAUGUCAAGAGACUUUGUCUAUUACUGGCUGAGCGUAAUGAUCUGCUUGAUGGUCUCCGUCUGCAUUGGAAUCAUCUAUAUUAAUGCGGGAACCAAUAUACUUCCAUCCAGGUAACUUAUUUCUCCUUAGUGGGAUUUUUAACUUGACCCUUCAUUCCCUUGUGAUUAAUUUCUCCUACAAGAAGUCUCAUUUUUUCCGUUGCUUUAAUUGAAAUUAUGCAGGCAAGAUGUGCAUUUGCAGCUUUCAUAUUUGGAUUUUUGACAUUCAUGUUGAUUGGAGGUUUCCCUCCAUUCAUGGAGUAUAUGAAAGUUUGUACUUCUUAAUUAUGGCUUUCUUGAAAAAGCUACCUAAAUUUAUGAUAAUACAUAGCCACACAAUUCUAAUAAUUCAUCCUAUAUUUGCACUUAAAACAGAUUUUUCAAAGGGAAAGGAUGAAUGGGCGUUAUGGUGUCACUGCAUUUGUCAUAAGCAACACGUUAUCUGCAAUGCCUUCCUAAUAUCGAUUGCAUUUCUUUCUGCUACUGUCUGCUACUUCAUGAACUGGUGAGAGUCAUGCAUAACUGAGCAAGCAUGCCUCAAUCUCGAAAUAGUUGGGUCGAUUAUAUUGAUUCUCUGGAUAGAAAUUGGAAUUCCUGAGAACUUAAGGGAUGACUAAUUGAUAAAUAAAUAUGUACCAUUAUUUCCCCCACCCACCCCACAAAUUGACCUUGGGUUUCUCAUAAUUAAACAUGAAAGAACACCUUCAUAUAUCCCCACUCCUAAAGUUCCUUUUUCUUGUAACACUUUGAUCAAAGUUGUGGGCCUAUUUUAUACAGCACCAUAUUUUGUCCUUUGAUGAAAAGUACUGUUUGGUACCACAAUUAACAACUUCCCCUCUUCCUCUUCAACAAAAAUAUGUAUCCUACCACAGGUAUUUUAUUUUCUUCAUGUUUUUUGAUUAGUUCUUUUAAAUUCUUCAAUUGAUUCUUUUUGUAUUUGUUGCUUCUUUUUUCUUUUCUUUUUUUGGCUUGGAUUAUGGUUGAAAUUAAACAAGGACAAUUACUUUUUUCCAUCAAUCUUGAACUUUGAUCAUAGAGAGGGAGGGGGGGGGGGGGGGGGGGUGUUGAUCACUUGUUGCAUUGGCAAGUGGUCACAAAAUUUUAGGACUGCUGUGUGUGGACAAUUUUAAAGAGAAAAAUUGGACAAAUGGAAAGAAAUCACCUACUGUUUUAUUUCUGCUGGGAUUUCGGGCCUGUUUGGAUGGGCUUAUAAAAAGUAACUUAUAAGUCAAAAGGUAAAAGCCAUAGGGGUGCUAAAAAUAAGCUAAUCCAAAUGGGCACUUAAACCUGAAACCUCGUGGUUUUCAAUCCACUUCAUUGACCACUAGGUCACUCCCUUGGGUGCUAAGUAUGGAUUUUAUCCGAGUCAUUAUUAGAAAUCAUUGUGAGCUUUGAUACUUGCGGACUUUAUUUCACUUGAAGUUUAGUUGACGUUGAUCAUUUCUAGUUAUAAACUAUGGGUUGGGUCUUUUAGCGAUUAUUCAGAAAUUCGUCUGAAAUUCUACUAUGCUGGACACUUUUCACUGAAAUUCAAUUAAUUUCUGUUCUUUUUUCAUUGUAAUAGGUCAUUGUACAAUUAGGUGGCUAUGUUGGAAAUAUUCUGAGUUUCUGCCAAUACUGUACUCAUUUAACCUUCAGCCCACCUUCUAUAUUCCUUUGUUUCGUUUGGUUGUUUGGUGUGAUUUCUGAAGGCUUGAUUGUGAAUUUUCUCCAUCACUGGGAUUUCUAUUGCAAUUUGCGCCUUUAAGUCUUAUUUCUAAGAAGUUAUGGAUUUUAUGCACUCAAUAGUACUCUUUUUCCAUAAUAAAGAAGAAAGCGAAACUAGUGUUGACAAAAAUUCUCUCUUCUUCAGGUUUUGAUUUGACUCCAUCCAUGGUUGCUGACACCCUGCUAUCAGAGCUUUCAAAAUAUAGUGUUCCAAUAGUCAGAUGCACUAAAGCUAAUGCUGAUUCGCAGAGUCACUCUUCUUCAAUUAUAGACCACAACAAAGAUGGCGGUAAGACUUGAAUUGGCCUAAUUUGAAGUUUUUAAUUGAAUGCCAAGUUUUGAGACAUCAUAGUUACCAUUAUGGCAAAAAGAAUGACAUCUCUCUUUAUCUCAUAAAAAUACUUCGAACUUCUCAUUUAUCCUUAAUGAGAUGAUUUAAAGCCACAAAAAUUUUAAUGGCUUGGCUUGUUUUAGACCACAAGUUCAAUAAAUCUUUCUUUUUCUCUUAAAUUUUGUGCCUAGUCAAACACCUUCAUAUAAAUUGGAACGGAGGGGAUAGUAUUUAUCUAAUCAUUUAGUUCCUUCUGUCAUUAGUUAACAUUAUCGGUC